ACUCCUACGGGAGGCAGCAGUGGGGAAUAUUGGACAAUGGGCGAAAGCCUGAUCCAGCCAUGCCGCGUGUGUGAAGAAGGCCUUUUGGUUGUAAAGCACUUUAAGCGAGGAGGAGGCUACUUAGAUUAAUACUCUAGGAUAGUGGACGUUACUCGCAGAAUAAGCACCGGCUAACUCUGUGCCAGCAGCCGCGGUAAUACAGAGGGGUGCGAGCGUUAAUCGGAUUUACUGGGGCGUAAAGCGUGCGUAGGCGGCUUCUUAAGUCGGAUGUGAAAUCCCUGAGCUUAACUUAGGAAUUGCAUUCGAUACUGGGAAGCUAGAGUAUGGGAGAGGAUGGUAGAAUUCCAGGUGUAGCGGUGAAAUGCGUAGAGAUCUGGAGGAAUACCGAUGGCGAAGGCAGCCAUCUGGCCUAAUACUGACGCUGAGGUACGAAAGCAUGGGGAGCAAACAGGAUUAGAUACCCUGGUAGGAUAGCG
rnacentral:rRNA from 1 species